UACGGAGGGUGCGAGCGUUGUUCGGAAUUACUGGGCGUAAAGCGCGUGUAGGCGGCUGCUUAAGUCUGAUGUGAAAGCCCGAGGCUUACCCUCGGAAGCGCAUUGGAUACUGGGCAGCUCGAGUAUCGGAGAGGAGGGUGGAAUUCCUGGUGUAGCGGUGAAAUGCGUAGAUAUCAGGAAGAACACCGGUGGCGAAGGCGGCCCUCUGGACGAAUACUGACGCUGAGACGCGAAAGCGUGGGGAGCAAACAGG
rnacentral:rRNA from 1 species